AUUGAACGCUAGCGGGAUGCUUUACACAUGCAAGUCGAACGAGUGCCGGACGGGUGAGCAAUAUAUCGGAAAGCUCCCAGUAGCGGGGGAUCACUCCUCGAAAGAGUGGCUAAUACCGCACACUCUUGGAGCGGCCCAUAUCGGUUUAGCUAGUUGGUGGGGUAAAGGCUCACCAAGGCAACGAUCCGUCGCUGGUUUGAGAGGACGACCAGCCACACUGGGACUGAGACACGGCCCAGACUCCUACGGGAGGCAGCAGUGGGGAAUUUUGGACAAUGGGGGAAACCCUGAUACAGCCAUCCCGCGUGUGUGAGAAGGCCUUCGGGUUGUAAAGUACUUUUGGCAGAGAAGCGGUAUCUGCAGAAUAAGCACCGGCUAACUACGUGCCAGCCGCCGCGGUAAUAC
rnacentral:rRNA from 1 species